AUGUCUUCAUCCUCCGGCGUCUCCCAACCUAGCCUCAAUGGUCAGGUCACCGAGAAGCUAAACCGCACGAACUACGUGUUGUGGCGCACACAUGUCACACCUCAUCUACGACGCAACGGUGUCUUCGGCUACGUCGACGGCACCACGCCGGAGCCGGCCAGACUCCACGUCACCAAGGACAAAGACGGCAAGGAGUCUUCUGAGCCCAACCCUCUCCACCCUCUUUGGGCCAGGGAGGACCAGCAGGUGCUCGGCUAUUUGUUGAGUACCCUCUCCAAGUAGGUGUUGGUCACGGUCACCGCGAUCACCACGGCGCGCGCACUCUGGGUGGCACUGGCAGGUAUGUUCUCGUCACAAUCACUCAACCGCGUCAACAACAUCCGGACUGCGCUCAUCAAUGCGCAGAAGGGCAUCCAGUCGGUCGCCUCCUACUUCGCUUCCCUGCGCGGCCUCGCUGAUGAACUCGCCGCCGCCGUCAAGCCUACCCAGGACGCCGAGUUAAUCUCAUACAUCCUCCAUGGGCUGGACGUCGACUACCAGCCGCUCGUCUCCGCCCUCGACGCCCGCGUCAUGCUUGUCACCCUCGACGAGCUCUAUGCCAUGCUAAGUAACUUCGAUCAGUGCAUGGCCCAAUUCCAUGGCUCCUCCGACGGCUUCAAAUCCUCCACCAACGCUGCAUCUCGCGGACGUGGUGGCGGCCCUCGCUCGCGCGGAUCUCCUCGCAACAAGGGGCGGUCAGGGGGCAACUACAACGGUGGCAGCUCCUCCAACCCUCGCAACGGGCGCUCCACCAACCCCAAGAAUCGUCGUGGCAGUGGAUCCAUCAGGUCCCGUCCGGACACGCCAUCCGAUGUCAGAUCUGUGGCAAGCCCGGGCACACGGCCAAGGACGUUGGUACUGCUACGAUGA
rnacentral:rRNA from 1 species